rnacentral:miRNA from 15 species
GGAGGAGGAGGAGGAGCAGUGGGAGGAGGGAAGUGGGAGGAGAUUGGGGUGGUGGCCAAAGACAAUUCCACAGGCUUUCUUGAACGGCUCUUCCCCCUGUGCA